rnacentral:rRNA from 1 species
CAACCUGCCGAUGACUCGGGGAUAGUCUUUCGAAAGAAAGAUUAAUACCCGAUGGCAUAGUUCUUCCGCAUGGUAGAACUAUUAAAGAAUUUCGGUCAUCGAUGGGGAUGCGUUCCAUUAGGUUGUUGGCGGGGUAACGGCCCACCAAGCCUUCGAUGGAUAGGGGUUCUGAGAGGAAGGUCCCCCACAUUGGAACUGAGACACGGUCCAAACUCCUACGGGAGGCAGCAGUGAGGAAUAUUGGUCAAUGGACGAGAGUCUGAACCAGCCAAGUAGCGUGAAGGAUGACUGCCCUAUGGGUUGUAAACUUCUUUUAUACGGGAAUAAAGUGAGGCACGUGUGCCUUUUUGUAUGUACCGUAUGAAUAAGGAUCGGCUAACUCCGUGCCAGCAGCCGCGGUAAUACGGAGGAUCCGAGCGUUAUCCGGAUUUAUUGGGUUUAAAGGGAGCGUAGGCGGACGCUUAAGUCAGUUGUGAAAGUUUGCGGCUCAACCGUAAAAUUGCAGUUGAUACUGGGUGUCUUGAGUACAGUAGAGGCAGGCGGAAUUCGUGGUGUAGCGGUGAAAUGCUUAGAUAUCACGAAGAACUCCGAUUG